GAUGAACGCUGGCGGCGUGCCUAAUACAUGCAAGUCGAGCGAACAGACGAGGAGCUUGCUCCUCUGACGUUAGCGGCGGACGGGUGAGUAACACGUGGAUAACCUACCUAUAAGACUGGGAUAAUUUCGGGAAACCGGAGCUAAUACCGGAUAAUAUAUUGAACCGCAUGGUUCAAUAGUGAAAGACGGUUUUGCUGUCACUUAUAGAUGGAUCCGCGCCGCAUUAGCUGGUUGGUAAGGUAACGGCUUACCAAGGCAACGAUGCGUAGCCGACCUGAGAGGGUGAUCGGCCACACUGGAGCUGAGACACGGUCCAGACUCCUACGGGAGGCAGCAGUAGGGAAUCUUCCGCAAUGGGCGAAAGCUUGACGGAGCAACGCCGCGUGAGUGAUGAAGGUCUUCGGAUCGUAAAACUCUGUUAUUAGGGAAGAACAAAUGUGUAAGUAACUAUGCACGUCUUGACGGUACCUAAUCAGAAAGCCACGGCUAACUACGUG
rnacentral:rRNA from 1 species